GGCCGGCUAGCUCAGUUGGUUAGAGCGUGGUGCUAAUAUAUCCUGUCAAGAUAAAUACUCAUUACGCCAAGGUCGCCGGUUCGACCCCGGCGUUGGCCA